UACGUAGGUCCCGAACGUUGUCCGGAUUUAUUGGGCGUAAAGCGAGCGCAGGUGGUUUAUUAAGUCUGGUGUAAAAGGCAGUGGCUCAACCAUUGUAUGCAUUGGAAACUGGUAGACUUGAGUGCAGGAGAGGAGAGUGGAAUUCCAUGUGUAGCGGUGAAAUGCGUAGAUAUAUGGAGGAGCACCGGUGGCGAAAGCGGCUCUCUGGCCUGUAACUGACACUGAGGCUCGAAAGCGUGGGGAGCAAACAGG
rnacentral:rRNA from 1 species